rnacentral:rRNA from 1 species
UACGAAGGAGGCUAGCGUUGCUCGGAAUUACUGGGCGUAAAGGGUGCGUAGGCGGCGCGGUAAGUCGGGUGUGAAAUCUCGGAGCUUAACUCCGAAACUGCAUUCGAUACUGCCGUGCUUGAGGACUGGAGAGGAGACUGGAAUUUACGGUGUAGCGGUGAAAUGCGUAGAUAUCGUAAGGAAGACCAGUGGCGAAGGCGGGUCUCUGGACAGUUCCUGACGCUGAGGCACGAAGGUCAGGGGAGCAAACGGG